rnacentral:misc_RNA from 1 species
CAAAUGCGAUACGCAAUGCGAAUUGCAGAAUUCCGCGAGUCAUCAGAUCUUUGAACGCAAAUGGCGCUGGGAUAACCAAUACCCCAGCAUGUUUGUUUCAGUGUGUUAGGAAUUCAUAUAUCUUAAUGCGAUUGAUUGAGAAUGAUUUAUUUCUUUCUCUCUCGUUAAAUAUGAAAGUGCUGAAUCGUUCAGUGCCAACUGAAGUAGUCACUUCUUUAGCAAGUGAUCUCAGUUGUUUGCAUUUAAACUGAAGAUUCACUUUAAAGCAACUUUUCUAAUAUAUAUUUCUAUAUCUCUCCACACAACACCUGAAAUCAAGCAAGAUCACCCGCUGAACUUAA